rfam:Amborella trichopoda AMTR_V1.0_contig_2961, whole genome shotgun sequence.
AAAAAAUGGGAGCCCUUUUGAGGACAAAGAAAGCAUUUCGAAUCGUCUUUUUGCUCAUUGAAGCAGCCAUCCUUUGGACUGAAGGGAGCUCCCAAUUCUU